rnacentral:lncRNA from 1 species
UGUCUAUCUUAGAAAUCACAUAUGUUUAUUUUUUGUAGUGCUGCAAGUGCCAGGGCCGACCGGAGACCUCCCUUUUGUUGUGACAACGAAACAAACCACUAACGCAACAGUUAUAACAGCCAACAUCUCCACAACACCCCCAACUCCAGUCACCACAACCAAGGCUACAUUCAUGUUAUAUGAAAUAAGGGGCCUAAAUUUUACAAUUGACAUUGAGUAUCAAGACUCAUUCAAUGAUUAUCCCAAUGAAGUAUAUAAAGAAGUCUAUAAUACUAUUCUGCCAAACUGUAGGAAGCACCUCAAUGAUUGUUUUAUACGAGACCUCGUAUUCACAGCUGGAAGCACGAUUGUGGAGUACUGGAUAGGUUCUUAUGUCAUGGACGAUUUGAAACUUCCGAAUAUAGAAACUGACGUAUACAUUGAUAUGUCCUCAAAAUACCCCAUCAUUUUUGACAGUAAGCAGUUCUCUCAAAAUAAUUGUUAAAUUCUUGUGUUUAUACAAAAAAUGCAAAACAGCA